rnacentral:rRNA from 1 species
AUAUGCUUGUCUCAAAGAUUAAGCCAUGCAUGUCUAAGCAUAAGCAAUUAUACCGCGAAACUGCGAAUGGCUCAUUAAAUCAGUUAUCGUUUAUUUGAUAGUACCUUCCUACAUGGAUACCUGUGGUAAUUCUAGAGCUAAUACAUGCGAAAAAGCCCCAACUUCGGGAGGGGUGUGUUUAUUAGAUUAAAAACCAAUGCCCCUCGGGGCUCCUUGGUGAUUCAUAAUAACUUCUCGAAUCGCACGGCCUUGUGCUGGCGAUGGUUCAUUCAAAUUUCUGCCCUAUCAACUUUCGACGGCUAGGUCUUGGCCAGCCGUGGUGACAACGGGUAACGGAGGGUUAGGGCUCGACCCCGGAGAAGGAGCCUGAGAAACGGCUACUACAUCCAAGGAAGGCAGCAGGCGCGCAAAUUACCCAAUCCCGACACGGGGAGGUAGUGACAAUAAAUACUGAUACAGGGCUCUUUUGGGUCUUGUAAUCGGAAUGAGUACAAUUUAAAUCUCUUAACGAGGAACAAUUGGAGGGCAAGUCUGGUGCCAGCAGCCGCGGUAAUUCCAGCUCCAAUAGCGUAUAUUAAAGUUGUUGCAGUUAAAAAGCUCGUAGUUGAACCUUGGGCCUGGCUGGCCGGUCCGCCUCACCGCGUGCACUGGUCCGGCCGGGCCUUUCCCUCUGGGGAGCCGCAUGCCCUUUACUGGGCGUGUCGGGGAACCAGGACGUUUACUGUGAACAAAUCAGAUCGCUUAAAGAAGGCCUAUGCUCGGAUACAUUAGCAUGGAAUAAUAGAAUAGGACGUGUGGUUCUAUUUUGUUGGUUUCUAGGACCGCCGUAAUGAUUAAUAGGGACAGUCGGGGGCAUCAGUAUUCAAUUGUCAGAGGUGAAAUUCUUGGAUUUAUUGAAGACUAACUACUGCGAAAGCAUUUGCCAAGGAUGUUUUCAUUAAUCAGGAACGAAAGUUAGGGGAUCGAAGACGAUCAGAUACCGUCGUAGUCUUAACCAUAAACUAUGCCGACUAGGGAUCGGACGGCGUUAUUUUUUGACCCGUUCGGCACCUUACGCGAAAGCAAAGUGUUUGGGCUC